GUGGGGAAUCUUCCGCAAUGGACGAAAGUCUGACGGAGCAACGCCGCGUGAGUGAUGAAGGUCUUCGGAUUGUAAAGCUCUGUUAAUCGGGACGAAAGAGCCUAGUGUGAAUAAUGCUAGGAAGUGACGGUACCGGAAUAGAAAGCCACGGCUAACUACGUGCCAGCAGCCGCGGUAAUACGUAGGUGGCAAUCGUUGUCCGGAAUUAUUGGGCGUAAAGCGCGCGCAGGCGGAUCUGCCAGUCUGUCUUAAAAGUUCGGGGCUUAACCCCGUGAUGGGAUGGAAACUACAGAUCUAGAGUAUCGGAGAGGAAAGUGGAAUUCCUAGUGUAGCGGUGAAAUGCGUAGAUAUUAGGAAGAACACCAGUGGCGAAGGCGACUUUCUGGACGAAAACUGACGCUGAGGCGCGAAAGCCAGGGGAGCGAACGGGAUUAGAUACCCGAGUAGUCC
rnacentral:rRNA from 1 species